rnacentral:tRNA from 1 species
GGUGGCUUAGUGGUAGAGCGCUUGCCUUGAAUGCAUGAGGUCUUGGGUUCGAUUCCUCAGCACCA